GCCAGGAGUGGUGGCACACACCUGUAAUCCCAGCUACUGUGGAGGCUGAGGCAGGAGGAUUGCAAGUUCCAAGUCUAGCCUGAACUAAGACCCUAUCUCAA
rnacentral:sRNA from 1 species